rnacentral:rRNA from 1 species
AGGACGAACGCUGGCGGCGUGCCUAAUACAUGCAAGUCGAACGGCUUUUCUAUGGAAGCUUGCUUCCACUGAGAAGAUAGUGGCGAACGGGUGAGUAACACGUGGGUAACCUGCCCAUAAGAGGGGGGAUAACAUCCGGAAACGGGUGCUAAUACCGCAUAGUUUUCUUGAUCGCAUGAUUGAGAAAGGAAAGACGGCCUUUGUGCUGUCGCUUAUGGAUGGACCCGCGGCGUAUUAGUUAGUUGGUGAGGUAACGGCUCACCAAGACGAUGAUACGUAGCCGACCUGAGAGGGUGAUCGGCCACAUUGGGACUGAGACACGGCCCAAACUCCUACGGGAGGCAGCAGUAGGGAAUCUUCCGCAAUGGACGAAAGUCUGACGGAGCAACGCCGCGUGAGUGAAGAAAGGUUUUCGGAUCGUAAAACUCUGUUGUCAGAGAAGAACAAGUUGGAGAGUAACUGCUCCAGCCUUGACGGUAUCUGACCAGAAAGCCACGGCUAACUACGUGCCAGCCGCGGC